UACGGAGGGUGCGAGCGUUGUUCGGAAUCACUGGGCGUAAAGGGUGCGUAGGCGGCGCGGUAAGUCGGGGGUGAAAUCUCGGAGCUUAACUCCGAAACUGCAUUCGAUACUGCCGUGCUUGAGGACUGGAGAGGAGACUGGAAUUUACGGUGUAGCGGUGAAAUGCGUAGAUAUCGUAAGGAAGACCAGUGGCGAAGGCGGGUCUCUGGACAGUUCCUGACACUGAGGCACGAAGGCCAGGGGAGCAAACGGG
rnacentral:rRNA from 1 species